rnacentral:rRNA from 1 species
AAUGAACGCUGGCGGCGUGCUUAACACAUGCAAGUCGAACGAGAAAGGGACUGCUUGCAGUCCUGAGUAGAGUGGCGCACGGGUGAGUAACACGUAGAUAAUCUACCUUCAAGCCUGGAAUAACUAUUCGAAAGGGUAGCUAAUACCGGAUAAAGUUGGUUGGCAUAAGUCAACUGAUGAAAGAUUGCCUCUUCUUGAAAGCAAUUGUUUGGAGAUGAGUCUGCGGACCAUUAGUUUGUUGGUGGGGUAAAGGCCUACCAAGACUGCGAUGGUUAGCUGGUCUGAGAGGAUGAUCAGCCACACUGGAACUGACACACGGUCCAG